GACAGAGGGGGCAAGCGUUGCUCGGAAUCACUGGGCGUAAAGGGCGCGUAGGCGGGACGGCAAGUCGACUGUGAAAGCCCCGGGCUCAACCCGGGAGGGUCGGUCGAGACUGUCGUUCUUGAGGGGGGCAGAGGAGUCUGGAAUUCCCGGUGUAGCGGUGAAAUGUGUAGAGAUCGGGAGGAACACCGGUGGCGAAGGCGGGGCUCUGGGCCUUACCUGACGCUGAGGCGCGAAAGCGUGGGGAGCAAACGGG
rnacentral:rRNA from 1 species